UGUGCGUCAGUUUCUUCAAGAGCAUUAAGGAUUCCGUAAUGCUUUUGUGGACCUGAAAAUUUAUUCCAAUUUAUUUUACACUUCUAUUUAAUAUGUUUGUCAUCUGUAAAUAACGUUCAAAGCACACAGCAUUUUCAGCUCGGUAUUUAUGUCGGAAUACGAUUGGUCAGGCUUUGAAAUAAAGAGUUAGCAGUACAAAGGAUGCUUUUCUGGGCUGCAUAAAGGAAUAGAGUUCAAGAUUGAUUGUCGAACAUUCCAAGUUGGUUGUGCUAUUCCUACAUAUUUGCAAGAGUUCAUUUGUUGUCAAAGAGACCAUAGAGAAAAAAUUCUUCAAAAGAGGGCUUGUGUGAAUGAGAUUCAGAUGGAUAAAAGGGUAUACUAACAAGUAAAAAGAGGAGGAAGCGAUAUCUACUCGGUGUGGUGAAAUAUAUGGGUGGAGACUCGGUAGCAAGGGAAUGGAGUCUUGGCACAAGUGGUCGUGGAGCUCGGAUAUUCCGGUCAAAAGCCCUGACACAAACAAAGCCUGCAAAAAGAAUGCUGUAGUGCAGCACUCUUGAUUAGAUAGAGGAUUCUCUGAUGUUAUAGAGCUACAAUGUUCAUCAUCUCCUGUGGAUUCCGAUGCUUCACCUGAAAUUGAAUCAACAAUCAGUUAGCCAUUUUGGAAAAUCUACAGUUU